UGGCUAAUCGGACUGCUAGAAGGAAUCUGGCUACCUAUGGAUGGUCUGCAAGGAGGGCAAGGAUCCUACAAAUAGCACAAUAUUAAGAGCAGACACCUGACAUGAAAUGAUACUCAGCUGAAGGUCUCGGUCUAUGCCUUCUUGGAGAAAGUCCAGAAUGCCUGGAAUUCCAGGAUUUCUGGGAUUUGCAUUGUGUUCUUGGUACCAGUUGUAGAAUCUGGAUCAGAGAGAGCAGGAUAUUUUUAGUACUGAUACUCUCCUAGAUGAAAGCAAUGUUUUAAUGAAUCCGGAAGAUGGAUCAAGACCUUCUAGUGUUUCCCUGUCAAUUGCCAGGCUGUUAGUUGAAGCUGUUUUGGGUCUAGCUGAAGAACAGGACCUUUGAAAGGAUGUCCGGUCUCCACAGAACCUGGAGUGGGAGUUCCAGUUUCAGCUCUAUCAGGUCUGAGAACCAAGGUCUCCUUGGCCAAUGAGGAGUUAUAAGAAUUACUGUCGCCUGCUCUCGUUUUAUUUUCUGAAUCACCUUCCUCAGUAGCAGAAAAGGUGGAAACACAUCAAGUAGGCCCUAUGGCCAACUGUGCAAUCAGGCAUCUGUGCCCAUGACUCUGGGGUCUGCUUCAUUUGUGAAGUAUUUUGGCUUCUUUGCAUUUGUAUGAUUCACAAAUGGGUCGGUUGAAGGGAGGCAGAACGUCUGAAUGGUGAGUCCUGAUUCAGACAUCAUUUGGAGUUUUUGACCCUGCGCCUGGUGAGACCAUCUGCCCUUUUGUGGUUCAGGUCCACUUUGAUGUGGAUCACCCUGAGGAAAAGGCAGAACUGUUCCAUCCACCUCACUAUUUCCAUUGCUUCCACACUUAGUGCUGGACGCCUUGUUCCCCAUUGGCUGUUUAAAUACGCAAACGUAGUCAUAUUGUCUGAUUGAACCAGGACAUGGUUCCCCCUUAGAGUGAGCUGGAACCUUUGCAGAGCUAGCUGGACAGCUCUCAGCUCUAGGAGGUUUAUGCAGUUUUGCCUUUUUCUCCUAGCUCCAGAGGCCCUGGGCUGUUUGGGUCUCCAAGUGAGCUCCCCAGCCCUCCAAGCUGGCCUUGGUUGCGAGGAUUGAAGGAUCUGAAAGGCAGAUGGACAUACCUUUGCAGGCAUUAUCAUGGGCUGACCACCAUUGUAAGGAGUUAAAUACCUAUGUUGGAACCUGUACUUGAUCUUUCAUGUGUUCCAGGGAAUGGUCCCACACCUUUAGUAUGAAGGCUUGAAGAUGUCUGAUGAGUGAUUGUGCCCAUGGAGUGAUGCCUAUGCACAGUACCAUGAGUCCUAGCACAGCACAGUGCUAUGGUGGUUAUUCUGUUGGAUGGAACCAGAGAACUUUUCUUGGCACUGAUGAUGAAGCCGUGCCCCUGGAGGAGAUUCAACAUCCAAGAUGUGGUCCUCUGCACUGCUGGAGUUCUGAUUGGGAUGUUGUCGAGAAUAGAGUACAGGUGAACCUCAGAAGUCUGCGGUGGCAUGAUCGGAUGGGGAUAUGGAGAUAUGCGUCUGCAAGAGGUACUGAAGUCAAGAAGUCCCUCUGGACAGGGAGGACACUGUAGAGGCCAGGGUCUCCAUCAGAAACAUUGUUUUCCUCAUCCACUUGUUCAGCCUUUUGAGGUUGAGAAUGGCUCUGAUACCCACCAUGUGCUUCUGCACAAUGAAGAAGAUGGAGUACAACCCGGCAAACCUUUUUCUGAGGGAACAGUCUGUGUCAUGCCAAUAUCCAGAAGAUGAGAUAUUUCAUUCUGGAUCAAAUUGUUUUUUACAGGGUUGUUGAAACUAGGUGACUGGAUGAAGAAUGGAUGGGGUGGAGCCCACAGUUCGAGGGACUAUCCCUGGCUCACUAUCACCCUGAUUAACUUCUCUGUGGUUAAAGAAAAACAUUCUUCUAGAAAAUGGGGAAUUCUGCCCCCUCGCUUCUCUCCGGGGCGGAGGCCUACGUAAUCUUCGUCAUAAAUUGGAUUUUAGGGGAGCUGAGGUCCCUCUGGACUUUCCCCAUGGACUUUGACCCUACUGUUUUCCCUUGGGGAACCUGCUGUCCCUUCGCACUUACCUCUGUGAGGACAAGUAGCGAAAGGCCAGACUUCCACCUUAAUUGAAUUGGCUCGUUAGCACUGACCCCCCAUUUGGUAAGGCAACUCCCAUCUUUUCAU